rnacentral:rRNA from 1 species
CCCUUAGAUGUUCUGGGCCGCACGCGUGCUACACUGAGUGGAUCAGCGGGUCAGGUUGCGCGAAAGCGUUUCCUAAUCUUUAAAUCCGCUCGUGAUGGGGAUUGACGGUUGCAAUUUUCUGUCAUGAACGAGGAAUACCUUGUAAGCGCGGGUCAUCAUCCCGCGCUGAAUACGUCCCUGCCCUUUGUACACACCGCCCGUCGCUCCUACCGAUUGAGUGGUCCGGUGAAUACUUCGGACCGGUUACUUGGUUGGUUCGCUAACCUUGUGACUGGAAAGUCGAGUGAACCUUAUUGCUUAGAGGAAGGAGAAGUCGUAACA